UACGGAAGGCAGCAGUGGGGAAUAUUGCACAAUGGGCGCAAGCCUGAUGCAGCCAUGCCGCGUGUAUGAAGAAGGCCUUCGGGUUGUAAAGUACUUUCAGCGGGGAGGAAGGCGAUGCGGUUAAUAACCGCGUCGAUUGACGUUACCCGCAGAAGAAGCACCGGCUAACUCCGUGCCAGCAGCCGCGGUAAUACGGAGGGUGCAAGCGUUAAUCGGAAUUACUGGGCGUAAAGCGCACGCAGGCGGUCUGUUAAGUCAGAUGUGAAAUCCCCGGGCUUAACCUGGGAACUGCAUUUUGAAACUGGCAGGCUUGAGUCUUGUAGAGGGGGUAGAAUUCCAGGUGUAGCGGUGAAAUGCGUAGAGAUCUGGAGGAAUACCGGUGGCGAAGGCGGCCCCUGGGACAAGACUGACGCUCAGGUGCGAAAGCGUGGGGAGCAAACGAGGGAUUAGAUACC
rnacentral:rRNA from 1 species